rnacentral:miRNA from 1 species
UGCCACUCCCGCUGAGCGCUGGCUUGGUUUUUCCCCUUUUAGCCUGCAGGCACUGAAUUCUGUGGGGCGCUAGAAGGCUAAAAGGGAAAAAACCAAGCCAAUGCUCAGCAGGAGCGGCG